rnacentral:rRNA from 1 species
AAUCAACGCUGGCGGCGUGCCUAACACAUGCAAGUCGAACGCGAAAGCGGAGCAAUCCGCAAGUAGAGUGGCAAACGGGUGAGUAACGCGUGGGCGACCUACCUCUGAGUGGGGGAUAACCUUCCGAAAGGAGGGCUAAUACCGCAUGACAUCCCGUGUUUAGAUACACGGACAUCAAAGCCGGGGAUCGCAAGACCUGGCGCUUGGAGAGGGGCCCGCGUCCGAUUAGCAGUUGGUGAGGUAACGGCUCACCAAGGCUCCGAUCGGUAUCCGGCCUGAGAGGGCGGACGGACACACUGGGACUGAGACACGGCCCAGACUCCUACGGAGGCAGCAGUGGGGAAUUGUUCGCAAUGGGCGCAAGCCUGACGACGCAACGCCGCGUGGAGGAUGAAGGUCUUCGGAUUGUAAAGCACUUUCG